GGUGAAGGCUUUGGCUACAGCAAAUGAGAACGAGCCCAAACGCAGCAGCCACAGAUGCAAAAAUGAAGGAAAAGAGCUGCUUACCCUUGGGAGGCCUCAGGAUCUCCAGCAAGAAAUGCCCUCACCUCUACUGCCAACCCGUAAAUGAGGGCUGGGAAGGGGUGGAUCCUGGCUCCAUCCCUUCCAUCACUCAGCUACAUUGCAUGCACCUGAGCCCCCUGGAUUGGCCCUGCCUUCCCACCAGGUGCUCCAUCACUGCUCCAGGCUGUGACUGAGCAUUUCUGCCACACGUGGUACUGAUAAGGAGAUACAGCACUCACUGACAGAUGAGGACAGACACCUCUAUGCUUCAUCUGUUGCCUGCAGAUGAGAAAGGCUCCUCCACACCUCCAGCCCAACUGCCAGGGCAGCGGAGCAUGCAGUCCUGAUGUCCCCUCCACAGCCAUUGCUCAGAGGCAGCACUGGAUGAAUUGAGUUCAUUACCACUAAAAAGGCACUAACAGCUGCACUUAGAAACUAUUUUCCCUGUGUGUUUCCACCGUGCUGCCUCCACACACCACACCAAUGGCAAACCUGCAAUUCACAUUCUAGUCUCAUUCUUCUGCCUUUGUGGGAAGGAAGGAGAGUUAAGGCUUUCCAGACAGAAACAACCCUUCCUAACUCUGGUAACCCCAGGUUCCCAAAUCCUCCUGUCCAGGUGGAAGGAGGCAGUGGGUCAAAUGCACUGACAGCCAGAAUCCUAAAUCAGCAGUAAAAGAAAUAUCUUUAUAAAUGUCAACUGUGUAUUCAUCUCAGUGUCACAGCGAGGUAGAGCAGCAUUAGCUCAAGGAAUCAGCUGUAAAGGAUUUACCCUGUUCUCCUGUCCCACGGGAAACUGAGGAAACCCCAAAGCUGAUGCAUGAGGUGGAAGUAAACUGCUCCACAACUGUUCCCUGGGUCAGAAGCACAGAACACCCUGAGCUGGGAGGGACCCACCAGCAGCACCCUGUGUUGGGUUAACAGCCCUGAGCUCAGCCCUGGCACUACCAGGGCUUCCUUUAUGUGAUCCCCC
ensembl:lncRNA